rnacentral:tRNA from 1 species
GCCCCUAUCGUCUAGUGGCCUAGGACGCCGCCCUCUCACGGCGGUAACGUCGGUUCAAAUCCGUCUGGGGGUACCA